rnacentral:rRNA from 1 species
AUUGAACGCUGGCGGCAUGCCUAACACAUGCAAGUCGAACGGCAGCACAGGUAGCAAUACCGGGUGGCGAGUGGCGGACGGGUGAGUAAUGCAUCGGGAUCUACCCAAACGUGGGGGAUAACGUAGGGAAACUUACGCUAAUACCGCAUGAUGUCGUAAGACCAAAGAUUUAUCGCCCAGGGAUGAGCCCGCGUAAGAUUAGGUAGUUGGUGAGGUAAAGGCUCACCAAGCCGACGAUCUUUAGCUGGUCUGAGAGGAUGAUCAGCCACACUGGGACUGAGACACGGCCCAG